rnacentral:rRNA from 1 species
GAUGAACGCUGGCGGCGUGCCUAAUACAUGCAAGUCGAGCGAACGGACGAGAAACUUGCUUCUCUGAUGUUAGCGGCGGACGGGUGAGUAACACGUGGAUAACCUACCUAUAAGACUGGGAUAACUUCGGGAACCCGGAGCUAAUACCGGCUAAUAUUUUGAACCGCAUGGUUCAAAAGUGAAAGACGGUCUUGCUGUCACUUAUAGAUGGAUCCGCGCUGCAUUAGCUAGUUGGUAAGGUAACGGCUUACCAAGGCAACGAUGCAUAGCCGACCUGAGAGGGUGAUCGGCCACACUGGAACUGAGACACGGUCCAGACUCCUACGGGAGGCAGCAGUAGGGAAUCUUCCGCAAAGGGCGAAAGCCUGACGGAGCAACGCCGCGUGAGUGAUGAAGGUCUUCGGAUCGUAAAACUCUGUUAUUAGGGAAGAACAUAUGUGUAAGUAACUGUGCACAUAUUGACGGUACCGAAUCAGAAAGCCACGGCUAACUACGUG